GACGAACGCUGGCGGCGUGCUUAACACAUGCAAGUCGAACGGAAAGGCCCCUUCGGGGGUACUCGAGUGGCGAACGGGUGAGUAACACGUGAGUAACCUGCCCUUGACUUCGGGAUAACUUCAGGAAACUGGGGCUAAUACCGGAUAGGAAUCCUUGCUGCAUGGUGGGGGUUGGAAAGCUUCGGCGGUUUUGGAUGGACUCGCGGCUUAUCAGCUUGUUGGUGGGGUAGUGGCUUACCAAGGCUUUGACGGGUAGCCGGCCUGAGAGGGCGACCGGCCACAUUGGGACUGAGAUACGGCCCAGACUCCUACGGGAGGCAGCAGUGGGGAAUAUUGCACAAUGGGCGGAAGCCUGAUGCAGCAACGCCGCGUGCGGGAUGACGGCCUUCGGGUCGUAAACCGCUUUCAGCAGGGGCGAAGCUUGUGGUGACGGUACCUGCAGAAGAAGCACCGGCUAACUACGUG
rnacentral:rRNA from 1 species